UGCAGCUAUUGAUAAACACAUUUUAAGAUUGUCACCUCAGUGUUGCAAAUACAAAAAGGAAGACUCAUUUAAUUUUAGGCAUUUUCUUUAUAUUUACGCUUUACUUUUGAUAAAGCUACAUUCUAACAAAUCAGCUUACCCUGCUGUCCGUUAGAUGUUUGCUAAAUCCUGGGUCAUGGUCAUUAUGAUUAUUCAAUGCAACAUUUUCUGAUUGAUCCCAUUUGCAAUUCUAGUUUGGAGGGUUUACUACAACCUUUGUUUGCUGGUUCAGAUGUAAGUCACAAAUAUCACUGUUUAAACCUAGAAAUAUGCAAAGCCUGAGGUACCUAUGGUCUGCUGCUGUACGUCUUGUCUUGCUUUGCACAAGAGGGAAAAUUAUAGUGGAACCGGCAGUGAAUCAUAGCUUUCUGUUACAUAACAGCUUCUAAAUAACCCAUAAUAUAAAAGAAGAAAGCACAAAACAGCUCAACUCCUCUUCAAACUCCCCAAAUCCCCAGGAUAUCUCCAAAGCCCCUGGACCAAAUGGAUCCCAGAGCAGUUUGCACAGUCUCCAGUGCUUUCUGGGUCACUGAAAUAAUAGACAUUUCAGUGUGCAAAGGGAAAAAAACAUGAGAAUGUGAACAGCUGGAGUUUAAAUGAAAUGACAGAUUUACUUACCAAUUUAUGGCAAAAUAUCAUUAGUAUUUUCUAGCUAUUCCAAUAAUAUCUUUUAUAGGCAAAGCUCCUGUGUGAAGUCACUUGGAUUAUAUUUUCAAUUUUUAACCAUUACUUAGCUUAGUUAUAUGGAGUUUGGCAGGGAAAAUAAAACUGUAACAACUGAUUGCAGAAAACUGUUAAGAAUUCUAUGUGUUUGCAUUAUUUGUUUCUAGGGAUUUUAUUUUACUUUUACCCUUCUUCAAGAGCUACUUAUGUGUGUAUUUUUGUGUUUGUGAGGUUUUUUUCUUAUUUUUGUAAGUCUUAAUUUACUGGCAUGUUCUGAUGCGUACAUCUCUAAGAACACAAGAUUUUUCUCAUUCUUCUCAGGUUUACAUUUUCAAGUCUUUUAGUGACAUCAAACCAUCUCCCUCCUGUUCUUGACUGGAAGAGAAUGCCAUUUAGAGUGAAGAAAAGUAUGUCAUGCUCAAAUGUUACACAACACCUACAAUUUCUGGCAGGAGCAUCCUUAUUCAACAGUCUACUCAGCUGGGAACAAAAUCCUUGGAGCGGCAUUUGGCACUAUAUUCCUCUUUCAGCUCAGGAAGCCUUGCACAUUGUGUUGUUUGGCAGUCUUAAGCUUGAACACUGCAUUUCAGAUUGCGGAUGUUUCUGAAAAGAUUGUCUUUUUCCUCCCUGCCCUCAAACAUUUAUUCAUUCAAGAGGGUUUAGUCAUGCAAUGCAUAAUCUCUCUCUGCUCUACUAAGAUAUUUGAUAUCCAACCCUUCAAAUGUUGUAUGACUGUAACUCUCAGCAUUCCUCACCAGUAUGCUAGCUAGAGCUGUUAAGGUUUGCAUUCCAACAAAUCCAGAGGGCUGCAUGAUUGCAACUUUUGUUUAUGACAUCUCAUCAGGCCAGUUAUUUCUUUUCCUUCUUCACUUUCCUUGUUCCAUGUACUUGAAUGAUAUCCUCAGUCCUCUGGGAUUUGAUGUAUAUACGGUAUGCAUGAUGCUAUAUCUCAUGCCCCUUCUACAGUGCCAUAUAAUCCAGAUUAUCAAAGCAGAUAAUCCACAUUAUCUGCUUUGAACUGGAUUAUAUGAAUCUGCACUGCUAUAUAAUCCAGUUCAAAGCAUAUGGCAGUGUAGAAGGGGCUUUAAAGGUGUCUUGGAUUUUCAAUAUAAAAUCCCAUACAAAACACACCCUGAGAUGACAACAAAUCUUCCUACUCUUAAACUGGCACUUCAAAUUCCCUCUUGCCAAUAUUCUUCUUUUAUAUCCCACUUUUCUCCCAAUGUGAGAUCCAAAAUGCCGUACAUUUUUAAAGCACCAUACAUUUAAAAUACUGUUAAUACAAAAUGAUACAAAAUAUCUCCCAGGGACAGGAAGAGUCUGGAACUUUAUUAAUUUGCAACUGUUUUUAAAUAGUCAAAACAAGGGAAGCAAAUAAAGCUGCAUUUUUCCAAAGUAACACUUAAGUUAGAAAGUACAUGCAUUUAUUUUUUGCAACUGCCUGCUAUUUUGGGUGUGGACACACUGCUAUGCAGCCAUGACUAAUCUAAAAUCCUGGACUGCUCUUCUGUUUCUGUUAUUUGUGCUGAUGUGAUAAAAUAGGCUGUUUUAUGUUACAACAAUGUUUAUGUUGCUCUGUA